rnacentral:rRNA from 1 species
GACGAACGCUGGCGGCGUGCUUAACACAUGCCAGUCGAACGGAAAGGCCCCCACUUUUUUGGUGGGGGUGCUCGAGUGGCGAACGGGUGAGUAACACGUGGGUGAUCUGCCCUGUACUUCGGGAUAAGCUUGGGAAACUGGGUCUAAUACCGGAUAGGACCAUGGUUUAGUGUCUCAUGGUGGAAAAAUUAUUGUUUUGGUGCAGGAUGAGCUCGCGGCCUAUCAGCUUGUUGGUGGGGUAAUGACCUACCAAGGCGUCGACGGGUAGCCGGCCUGAGAGGGUGGACGGCCACAUUGGGACUGAGAUACGGCCCAGACUCCUACGGGAGGCAGCAGUGGGGAAUAUUGCACAAUGGGCGCAAGCCUGAUGCAGCGACGCCGCGUGGGGGAUGACGGCCUUCGGGUUGUAAACUCCUUUCGUUAGGGACGAAGCCGCACCUUUUUUGGGUGUGGUGACGGUACCUUUGUUAAGAAGCACCGGCUAACUACGUG